rnacentral:rRNA from 1 species
ACAUGCAGUCGAGCGCGGGAGCAGCUGAUCCUCUUCGGAGGUGACGCUUGUGGAACGAGCGGCGGACGGGUGAGUAACACGUGGGCAACCUGCCUGUAAGACUGGGAUAACCCCGGGAAACCGGGGCUAAUACCGGAUAAUACUUUUCAUCACCUGAUGGGAAGUUGAAAGGUGGCUUUUAGCUACCACUUACAGAUGGGCCCGCGGCGCAUUAGCUAGUUGGUGAGGUAACGGCUCACCAAGGCAACGAUGCGUAGCCGACCUGAGAGGGUGAUCGGCCACACUGGGACUGAGACACGGCCCAGACUCCUACGGGAGGCAGCAGUAGGGAAUCUUCCGCAAUGGACGAAAGUCUGACGGAGCAACGCCGCGUGAGUGAUGAAGGUUUUCGGAUCGUAAAGCUCUGUUGUUAGGGAAGAACAAGUGCCGUUCGAAUAGGGCGGCACCUUGACGGUACCUAACCAGAAAGCCCCGGCUAACUACGUGCCAGCAGCCGCGGUAAUACGUAGGGGGCAAGCGUUGUCCGGAAUUAUUGGGCGUAAAGCGCGCGCAGGCGGUCCUUUAAGUCUGAUGUGAAAGCCCACGGCUCAACCGUGGAGGGUCAUUGGAAACUGGAGGACUUGAGUACAGAAGAGGAGAGUGGAAUUCCACGUGUAGCGGUGAAAUGCGUAGAGAUGUGGAGGAACACCAGUGGCGAA